GAAUUAAUAAUUAUUAUUUAUUUUAAUAUAUUUAUAUUUAGAAUAAAAAUAUUAUAUUUUAUUAUUAAUAAGAACAAAUUAAUUUAAUUAUAGUUAAUUAUUAUUGUGAAAGAAUUUAUUUAUUUAUUUAAAAGAAAAAUUUAAUUUUUGUACCUUGUGUAUCAGGGUUUAUUAAUUAAUAAUUUAUAUAAAUAUAUCUCGAAUUUAAAAGAUCUAAAAAAUUAUAUUUUUUAAUGUUGAAUAAUUAUUAUGAAUAAUUUUUUAGUAAUGAAACGUUAUACGUUUUUAAAUAUAUCUAGUUUUUUAAGAAAUAAAUUUAAUUUAUUUAUUAAUUAAGUAAAAAGUUAUUUAUUUAAUUUUUUAUUAUUAAUAUUUAAAAUUUUUAGGGAUGAGCUUAAAAAUUAAUUAUUAUUUAUUUAUAAAUUUUGUGAAGAUGUAGGAUUAAAAUUUUUUAUCAUUAAUAAAAUGUUACAAUUAAUUUAUAUUGAAAUAUUAUUUUUAUAAGUGUAUUAAUUUUUUUAUUAAAAUAUUAGUUUAAAUUUUGGUAAUUAAUAAAUGAUGAUAAAAUUAGUAUAAGUUAUUUUAUUAAUAAAGAUUAUUAAAAGGUUAAGUAAAGGAAUUCGGCAAAUAAUUUUUUACCUGUUUAUUAAAAACAUGUCUUUUUGAGUAUAAUUUAAAGUCUAACCUGCCCUAUGAUAAUUUAAAUGGCCGCGGUAUUUUGACCGUGCUAAGGUAGCAUAAUCAAUAGUUUUUUAAUUGAAAGCUGGAAUGAAGGGUUGGAUAAAAAAAUUACUGUCUUUAUUUAAUUUUAUUAAAAUUUUAUCUUUAAGUUAAAAAGCUUAAAUUUUAUUAAAAGACGAGAAGACCCUAUAGAGUUUUAUAAAUGAACUAAUUUAUAUAUUUAGAAUUUAUUUUAUUAAUUAAUUUAUUUAUUUAAUUGGGGUGAUUAAAAAAUUAAAUUAACUUUUUUUAUAUUUUAACAUCUAUAAAUGUUUAUUUGAUCCAUAAUUAAUGAUUAUAAGAUAAAAUUACCUUAGGGAUAACAGCGUUAUUUUUUUUUAGAGUUCAAAUCGAAAAAAAAGAUUGCGACCUCGAUGUUGGAUUAAAAUUAAUUUUUGGUGUAGUAGCUCAAAAAUUAGGUCUGUUCGACCUUUAAAAUUUUACAUGAUCUGAGUUUAAACCGGUUUAAGCCAGGUUGGUUUCUAUCUUUAAUUAGAAAAAAUAUUUUAGUACGAAAGGAGUAAAUAUUUAAUUUAAAAUUUAUUUAUGAAUAAUUUUAA
rnacentral:rRNA from 1 species